GAUGAACGCUGGCGGCGUGCUUAACACAUGCAAGUCGAACGGAGUUUACCAGAGUGCUUGCACUCAGGUAAACUUAGUGGCGGACGGGUGAGUAACGCGUGGGUAACCUGCCUUAUACAGGGGGAUAACAGUCGGAAACGACUGCUAAUACCGCAUAAUGUGCCGGGAGGGCAUCCUCUUGGUACCAAAGAUUUAUUGCUCUGAGAUGGGCUCGCGUCUGAUUAGAUAGUUGUGGGUAACGGCCACCAAGUCGACGAUCAGUAGCCGGGUUGAGAGACUGAACGGCCACAUUGGGACUGAGAUACGGCCCAGACUCCUACGGGAGGCAGCAGUGGGGAAUCUUCCGCAAAUGGGCGAAAGCCUGACGGAGCAACGCCGCGUGAGUGAAGAAGGCCU
rnacentral:rRNA from 1 species